rnacentral:rRNA from 1 species
UACGAACCACACGAACGUUAUUCGGAAUCACUGGGCUUAAAGGGUGCGUAGGCGGCGCGGAAAGUAGGGUGUGAAAUCCCUCGGCUCAACCGAGGAACUGCGCUCUAAACUACCGUGCUCGAGGGAGGUAGAGGUGAGCGGAACUUAGGGUGGAACGGUGAAAUGUGUUGAUAUCCUAAGGAACACCGGUGGCGAAAGCGGCUCACUGGAUCUCUUCUGACGCUGAGGCACGAAAGCUAGGGUAGCGAACGGG